AUGAAACAUUGGGAUAAGAACUCUAUAGUUUGCAAAAUAAAUAUCAUAAAUCCAGAUUAUAUAAUUAAGUCAGGACCAAUAGAAGCAACUCCUAAAGAUAUCGAAGAGUUCAAAAUGCAUAUUGAAGAGUUAUUAAAGUUAAAAGCUAUAAGAGAAAGCAGAAGCCCUCAUCGAUCUGCUGCUUUUAUAGUUAGAAAUCAUGCUGAAGGAGUUAGAGGUAAAUCUAGAAUGGUAAUUAACUUUAAAAGGCUUAAUGAUAAUACAGUUGACGAUGCAUACAACAUACCUAAUAAGCAGGAAUGGAUUAACAGAAUACAAGGAAGUAAAUAUUUCUCCAAAUUCGAUUUAAAGGCAGGAUUUUGGCAAGUAAAAAUGGCUGAAGAAUCUAUUCCAUGGACAGCAUUUACUUGUCCACAAGGCCAUUAUGAAUGGCUAGUAAUGCCAUUAGGCCUAAAGAAUGCACCUGCACUAUUUCAAAGAAAGAUGCAAAAUAUAUUUAAUGAGAAUCAAGCAUUUAUAUUAGUAUACGUAGAUGAUUUGUUAGUAUUCUCAAAAUCAUACAAAGAGCAUAUAGCCCAUCUUGAAGUGUUCUUUCGAAAGGUAGAACAAAAUGGGCUCAUACUAUCUAAAAAGAAGAUGGAGAUUUGCAAAGAGAAAAUAAAUUUCCUUGGUCAUGAAAUAGGAGAAGGAAAAAUAUAUCUACAAGAACAUAUUGCAAAGAAAAUAUUAGAGUUUCCUGAUAAUAUGAGUGAUAAAAAGGUUUUACAACAGUUCUUAGGAAUUGUAAACUAUGCGCGAAACUAUAUAGAUAACUUAGCAAAGCUAGCAGGACCUUUAUAUGCUAAAUUAAGAAAAAAUGGUCAAAGAUACUUCAAUUCUGAAGAUAUAAAAUUAGUAAAGGCCAUCAAGGAAAAGGUCAGGAAUUUAAAACCCCUAGAAUUGCCUCUAGAAGACAAUUAUUUUAUAAUUGAGACAGAUGCAUCUAAGGUAGGAUGGGGUGCGAUACUAAAACAAAAGCCCAAUAAAUACUCUCCAAAGGCAGACGAAAAAAUAUGCAGAUAUGCUUCAGGAAGUUACAAAUUAAAGACGGUAAAUAAUAUUGAUAGAGAAAUUCUUGCAGUUGUAAAUGCAAUAAAUGCAUUUAGGUUAUAUCUAGGAUUUAAAGAAUUUACAGUACGAACAGACUGUGAAGCCAUAUGCCGAUAUUACAAUAAAAUUAAUAGUAAGAAAAGCUCAACCAGAAGAUGGGUCUUAUUUGAAGACACCAUAGCUGGGAAUGGUUAUAAAGUUAUUUUUGAGCAUAUUAAGGGGAAGGAUAAUACCUUACCUGACAUAUUUUCUCGUGCAUCAAAUUUGCAGGAAUGA
rnacentral:rRNA from 1 species